rnacentral:rRNA from 1 species
CGUGUAGGCGGCCCGGUAUGUCUGGCGUGAAAUCUCCACUGCUCAACAGGGAGAAGCCGCUGGAAACUGCUGGGCUUGAGGACCGGAGAGGCCGGUGGAAUUCCAGGUGUAGCGGUGGAAUGCGUAGAUAUCUGGAAGAACACCAGUGGCGAAGGCGGCCGGCUGGACGGUUCCUGACGCUGAGGCGCGAAAGUGUGGGUAGCGAACG